AGAACCCUGCAACAAAAGUUGUUCCAUCUAAAAAUGGAAGUGCACCUGUAAAGAAAGCUGAUCCUUAUUAUUCAUCUUCUGAAGAAUCUUUUGAUGAAGAUGAGAAACCUGCUGCAGAGGUUGUUCCUUCCAAAAUAGGGAGUGCACCCGCAAAGAAGGCUGAUAGUUCUGACUUAGAAUCUGACGAAUCUUCUGAUGAAGAUGAGCCUAAUACUCCAGCUACAAAAAAAUUUAACAGUCGUGUGAAGACAUUAUAUGUUGGGAACUUAUCCUUCAGUGUGCAAAAAUCUGACAUAGAAAACUUCUUCCGAGUUUGUGGAGAGGUUGUUGAUGUACGUCUUGCGUCUUGUGAGGAUGGAAAGCUCAAAGGCUUUGGACAUGUUGAGUUUGCAACUGCAGAGGCAGCCCAAUACAUACGCUCUUGACAUCUUUUCAACUUGUGGAUUUUAUGAAAACUCUUGUUGAUUGUGUCGAAGGCUUUCAGAGAUCAAAAUGACUAUUACUUUUUUUAAUAUUAGGCACUUCAAAUGAAUGGGCAAGAACUAUUGCAACGUGCUGUCCGACUUGAUUUAGCUCGGGAGAGGAGUGCAUAUACUCCUAAUAAUAACAGGCGUGCAGGAUUCUAUAAACCAGGCCUAUACAAAGGGAAAAAGACUACUUUUGCCGACGACUAGGGUGGCAGUCUUGUUGCUUAGUUUUGGUGAUUUAGUAUCUGUGAAGAUCUUGU